UGGUCCUACGGGGCGCAGCAGUGAGGAAUAUUGGUCAAUGGUCGGGAGACUGAACCAGCCAAGCCGCGUGAGGGAGGAAGGUACAGAGUAUCGUAAACCUCUUUUGUCAGGGAACAAAGGCGGGGACGUGUCCCCGGAUGAGUGUACCUGAAGAAAAAGCAUCGGCUAACUCCGUGCCAGCAGCCGCGGUAAUACGGAGGAUGCGAGCGUUAUCCGGAUUUAUUGGGUUUAAAGGGUGCGCAGGCGGUCUGUUAAGUCAGCGGUCACAGCCCGGGGCCCCACCCCGGCUCGCCGUUGAA
rnacentral:rRNA from 1 species